UGGGGAGUACGACCGCAAGGUUGAAACUCAAAGGAAUUGACGGGGGCCCGCACAAGCGGUGGAGCAUGUGGUUUAAUUCGAAGCAACGCGAAGAACCUUACCAGGUCUUGACAUCCUUUGACCACUCUAGAGAUAGAGCUUCCCCUUCGGGGGCAAAGUGACAGGUGGUGCAUGGUUGUCGUCAGCUCGUGUCGUGAGAUGUUGGGUUAAGUCCCGCAACGAGCGCAACCCUUAUUGUUAGUUGCCAUCAUUCAGUUGGGCACUCUAGCAAGACUGCCGGUGACAAACCGGAGGAAGGUGGGGAUGACGUCAAAUCAUCAUGCCCCUUAUGACCUGGGCUACACACGUGCUACAAUGGGAAGUACAACGAGUUGCGAAGUCGCGAGGCUAAGCUAAUCUCUUAAAGCUUCUCUCAGUUCGGAUUGCAGGCUGCAACUCGCCUGCAUGAAGCCGGAAUCGCUAGUAAUCGCGGAUCAGCACGCCGCGGUGAAUACGUUCCCGGGCCUUGUACACACCGCCCGUCACACCACGAGAGUUUGUAACACCCGAAGUCGGUGAGGUAACCUUUUUGGAGCCAGC
rnacentral:rRNA from 1 species